GCCCGGCUAGCUCAGUCGGUAGAGCACGAAGACUCUUAAUCUCGGGGUCGUGGGUUUCGAAACCCCACACGUUGGGCG